rnacentral:lncRNA from 1 species
UACUUUACAAAGUCAAAAUAGAUUUUUUUUUCUUUAAUGCUACAAGUUUGGCUAGAUUUAUAAGACAAUAAAAGUUAAAUAAGUCUAUCUGUGAAUGAAACCCUGAGAAUAUUGUGUUUCAUCUGUUACCUCUAUUUUAGUAAGUCUGGGCUCAUUCUUCACUUUGCUUUAGGAAAAUUAAAUAAUGUCACAGUUUUUCCUGUGAGAGGUUACCAAGCUAUUACAGGGCCUCCAUGGUGUUCCAUUGGAAUUAAUUGUGCUUAGAAGUUAUGAAAAAGGAGUUGUGUAUCCGUAAGUCAAGUGUUUGUGUUUUGUUUGCAGUAAUAUACAGAAAUUACGUAUAUAAUAUCCAGUAUGAUAGUGUGAAUUUCCCCAAGUAAUUUAAUUUUUGUUCUAGAAUCAUCUCUUUUUGUCAAAAUAUGCAAAUUAAGUUUUCAGAGAUGUUUUUAAUUUUUUUUUUGUUUUGUUUAAUAGUUGGGUAACUAGCUGCAGCCAAGUUAAUCUCAGGAUCAAUUUAUUUAGUUAAGAAGAAAACACAUAGACAUUCAAUUUACUAAAUUUUUUUUGCCAGAGAGUUCUUGACAUUAAAUAAAAAUCUAAUAAUUUCUGUUUGCAUCUGAACAUAAAAUUAUGUAUAAUUACAUGCCAACCUUAACACAUAUGAAAAUUAAGUUGAAGAAUUCAGUGCUCAUUGCUUAAGCUUUUCAUCUGUGACAUCAUGCAUGUGUAUCAUGAUAAUCCUUAAUUAUACCAUCACUUUUUUAGUGCACGAUCCUUCAGUUGGAGAUGGAAAGUUCUCACUGAAUUAAAAAAAUAGAAAUAGAAAGGUUAUUUCUCUAUAUCUGAUGUGUUUAUCUGCACACUUUUUUUUUUUUUUUUUUUUUUUUGCUUUUCCUGCAGGCUUUUCUAGCGUAAUCAUUAGGAGAGUAUCUGAAUGCUCAUACUAAUGAGUACCCAAAAUUCUGAACUAGUAGCAUUAUCAUCACUAUGCUGCUGAGAAAACUAAGGCAUAGAGGGAUUCAAUAAAUGAAUGAGUGCUAAAUUGGGUUGGUUUUCAUUUAAUCAAAGCACAGUUUCACUGAAUAUAAUGUACAGGUUAUUUGAGGGUAGAGGUUGUUCAGCAGUAGAAGUGCUAGCCAUAAUUUUAGAACUGUGUUAAAUUCAGCACUAGGAUUUUUCUUGAAUUUGUGGGUACAUGCUGUGGUCCUGUCUGCGCUAUUAGGGCUUUCCCUGGUGCAGCAUUAUUGGGAUGCUCUGUUCCUCAGAGCAUUUGCAGCGCUGAGAAGGCUGUGUGCCUACGGUAGAUUCUCCUUUAUAUUUCUGCAUUUAUUUUCCAGUGGCUUGAAUUUGGAGCUCAGAAAAUGAGAAGCACUUCACUAGAGGCCUUCAGUUCGAUACAAGAAACUCGCUACUCUGUAAAUCCCUGAUAAAGACAGAAAUAGAAGUGGAACAACUGAGAUUUUGGGUAAAUCCCUGAUGCUGAAAACAUGCAGGGGAGAUCUUGUGCUGUUUUUAAGAAAACAGAAACAGAAAACUAACUUUCAUUUUAUAUGCAGCAUGUCCGUGUGGGAUGGACACAGAUCAUACAAAAAUGAGUUAGGAAAGGCUUUUUGGCUGAUAACAACCAUUAUAAUUUUCCUACUGUUGCCAGCUUUGAGUCUGUUUGCCCCCAAACUUUGUGCUGCAUCCAAAGACCUAAAAUUUGGAGUCUGCAGGCCUCGGAGAUGGAGAGAAGUUGAGCAUAAAGAGAGAAGAGAGCCUGCUGAGUAUUUUCAAGACUGAGAUUUGGAAAUAAGUUUCUCUCCUCCACUUACGAAGAAUCUAAAACAGGACCUUAUCAACCAUGGCACAUCCAUAUUUAGAUUUUCUUUACCUAUAUACUUUUUUCCCCCCUUUAUUUUUGUAUGGACAAGUUUUAAAAUAAAU